GAAAGCUGCAUACGGGAAAUCCGUCCGUGCAGUUUGAUGAGGAGGCGGAGGUUGAAAGACCUCCUCUUUACUCUAC
rfam:Candidatus Methanoperedens nitroreducens strain ANME-2d ANME2D_Contig_7.7, whole genome shotgun sequence.